rnacentral:rRNA from 1 species
AUUGAACGCUGGCGGCAGGCCUAACACAUGCAAGUCGAGCGAGCGGCGGACGGGUGAGUAAUGUAUGGGGAUCUGCCUGAUGGCGGGGGAUAACUACUGGAAACGGUAGCUAAUACCGCAUACCAUCAGAUGAACCCAUAUGGGAUUAGCUAGUAGGUGAGGUAACGGCUUACCUAGGCGACGAUCCCUAGCUGGUCUGAGAGGAUGAUCAGCAACACUGGGCUUGAGACACGGCCCAGACUCCUACGGGAGGCAGCAGUGGGGAAUAUUGCACAAUGGGCGCAAGCCUGAUGCAGCCAUGCCGCGUGUAUGAAGAAGGCCUUCGGGUUGUAAAGUACUUUCAGUCGGGAGGCGUUACCGACAGAAGAAGCACCGGCUAACUCCGUGCCAGCCGCCGCGGUAAUAC